AAGUCGUAACAAGGUUUCCGUAGGUGAACCUGCGGAAGGAUCAGAAACACGUAUCCAAACGUUAAACCCCCCUGUGAACCUUCAGUGUACUCGUACGUCCGUUAGAAAAAGCAGCAAUCCCUGGUAAAUCAUCGCCGAACAGUUUUCGAUUCAGGGACGUCUGCAAGGAGCGUGCAUGUUGUGCGAAGCAAGUGGCCUGGCAUCCCCAAGCAGUUAGUGUCUGAAAGUGUCAUUAACUGUGUAAGGAUGACGCAGUCACGAUCGUUGGAGGCCCACACGGCCGACGACCGGGUCACUGGGCGCAAGCCCCCCUAUAACAAACGCUGCUAAUCGCGGCCGCGAUAAUACGCAGUCGACCAAAAACCGAACAACUGUUAACAAUGGAUAUCUUGGUUCUC
rnacentral:misc_RNA from 1 species